CCUACGGGAGGCAGCAGUGAGGAAUAUUGGUCAAUGGCCGCAGGGCUGAACCAGCCAAGUCGCGUGAGGGAUGACGGUCCUAGGGAUUGUAAACCUCAUUUGCCAGGGAGCAAAGGGCGCCACGUGUGGCGUAUGGCGAGUACCUGAAGAAAACGCAUCGGCUAACACCGUGCCGGCGGCCGCGGUAAUACGGAGGAGGCGAGCGUUAUCCGGAUUUAUUGGGUUAAAGGGGUGCGCAGGCGGAAUGUCAAGUCAGCGGUAAAAUUUCGGGGCUCAACCCCGUCGUGCCGUUGAAACUGGCGUUCUUGAGUGGACGAGAAGUAUGCGGAAUGCGUGGUGUAGCGGUGAAAUGCAUAGAUAUCACGCAGAACUCCGAUUGCGAAGGCAGCAUACCGGCGCUCAACUGACGCUCAUGCACGAAAGCGUGGGUAUCGAACAGGAUUAGAUACCCUUGUAGUC
rnacentral:rRNA from 1 species